CUCUAUUAGAAAUUUAAAAUGCUAAUUGGUCUGAGUUUUCCAGUAAGAAUACGCCCUUUUCUCCAAUUGCUACAGAAAAAGAAGACAAGACUUGCUUUUCAGUUUAAAGAUCAAGAAAUAGUAUGAGGAAAACGUCCUCACUGGAUGAGUUUCAAGAGCCGUGCAUCUUCGCUUGUUGCGGUGACACCGUAUCAAUUGGCCAUGAACUGGGCGUUAAUCGCGUAGCCCCCAAAUGCAUUGAAGGAGCUGCGGUGAAAUUGGAAUACAACACCAGGCGUGGUCAUUUUAAGUCGACCCUUGCCUGAGGUUGAUUUCGUAGGUGCAACUUCUUAAUAGCCCGUGUAAGUACACUUACUUGUCUCCAUUGAUUGCUUUGAAUAAAUAUAUAUAAUCAUUUUGUUGAUUGCAUAUGGCAUGACCCAUGUGGUGAUCUCAAUAUAUUUCUAUGACCGGGUUUGUGAUUAGUCGCUUGAUUUCGUUUUUAUUCAUGGCCUGAUUGCAAGAACCACCCUUUUGCAAUAACAUAUUGUUCUAGCAGCUACUUGUUGACUUGUGAAUUCUAUGGGAGUGUAAAAGAAUGCUUUGAGUAUAAAAUACAUUUUUGCUUGAUGUUUAGCAUGUGCGUUUUGCGUAAGCUUAUGUCUUUGCUUGGCUAAUUCACUGCAUAGGCACUUAAUUCAGGAGCAAUGAGCAUGACAGUAUACCUGAUUUUGUUGUGGUGGUAGUUGACACUAGAGAUAGGUGCAGGAGCUGUUGAAGGAUGG